UUUCAUGUCCGACAUUUAAAUACUCCACAAUGACCGAGGAAACGGUAUAUCUUGAACAAUAUACAGGCAAUAGUUCAUAUAUGAUUAAGCUGUCUGACACGUUGUGCUAUUAUGAAAUAAGCACAUUUUCUGAAGAUCAAGAGGCAUGGCUGCUAGAAAAGAGAUUAAAAAACGCAUACAGUGUGUAUACAGCAAGCAUUACUAAUGGCAAUUCAACUGUACGAGUACUUUCAUUCUUUG
rnacentral:lncRNA from 1 species